GUGGUGGGUAGUUUGACUGGGGUGGUCGCCUCCUAAAAAGUAACGGAGGCUCGCAAAGGUACCCUCAGCAUGGUUGGUAAUCAUGCGUAGAGCGUAUAAGUACAAGGGUGCUUGACUGAGAGAGGGACGCCUCGAACAGGUGCGAAAGCAGGCUUAAGUGAUCCGGUGGUUCCGCAUGGAAGGGCCAUCGCUCAAAGGAUAAAAGGUACUCCGGGGAUAACAGGCUGAUCUCCCCCA
rnacentral:rRNA from 1 species